GGGAUUGUAGUUCAAUUGGUCAGAGCACCGCCCUGUCAAGGCGGAAGCUGCAGGUUCGAUUCCUGUCAGUCCCG
rfam:Ipomoea nil DNA, scaffold: scaffold1562, cultivar: Tokyo-kokei standard.